rnacentral:lncRNA from 1 species
UGAAAAUGAGAUUCUGUACAGGGGACAACCAAAGAAAACCAAAUAGAGAACAAGAGAGUUGUGAUACUUAAAACAACCACUGUCCCGUGCUGGAAGCCAGAAGAGAGUGUGUUGAGAUUUACUAGACGAAUACUCCAUCUUUACUUUGUGAAAUUACCAAGUGCCUGGGGCCCAGGAAAGUACCUACCAUGAAGAGGUUCUCUUGUACUUUCCUCUCUAUUGCUUUAGUGUCUGGAUAACAUAACUCUGCAGAGCUGUGAAUUUAUAAAUGUAAAACUGCUGGUGCAGGACAGCCUUGUGAUGAAUCGUGAUACCAGACAAGCAGGUAUUUAUUUUGGCAGCUCCAUAAUAUGGGCUCCUGAGUAGGGGGUAAAAAAUUCCCAAGACUACUCUUUUAGAGAAAUUCUAUUUUUCAACUGUCUAAACCUAAAUAGAAUUUUCCUGUUUUUUUUUUUUAAGCCUCUCUCAACAAAGCGAAAGCUGAAUUUACAUGCCAACCAGUCUUUGCCUUUCAUCCAUCAACACUUUGGUUGCAGACAGACUACACUGCUGGCUGAUUUAAGAAGGAUGAAGCCUCUUGACUCCCUCACACCUCUUCCGCUAUGUGUGUAUCACAGGAGCUUGGAGUAGGGCAAGUGAUCUGAGCAAGUGGUGGCGCCUAAUUACUGGCUGACCUUGACACUCUCUCAAGUUCUUUUCCUAAAGGAUGUGAUCCAGCUAAUAAAUACAGUAAUAUGAUGUCUUCCAUUGCUGUGAAGAGACAGCAUGACCAAGCAAUUUUUACAGAUGUCAGAAACUUUUAAGGAAUAUGUUGAAAUGAAAAUUAAGCUCAGUCAUUUUACCCAUCAUUUUCCUGGCUCCAAGGAUAAUUGUUUUCAACUCUACAUGAUUCUCUUCAUCCACACUCGCAUACUCUAAGCCAGUAAUCAUGUUUCUCCUGACCUCAGUAGCUGCUCGUCCUGCCUAGGUCACCUUGCUCAACAUGAUCUCAAAAUGUUGGGUCUGCCUCCUGCAUCUCCUUUCUUAUCUUACUCUUUCUGUGGUUACAACUUAACCUUCCAGUUCAAAU